UGGUAGUGUAUUGGACUACCAUGGCAGUCACGGGUAACGGAGAAUUAGGGUUCGAUUCCGGAGAGGGAGCCUGAGAAACGGCUACCACAUCUAAGGAAGGCAGCAGGCGCGUAAAUUACCCAAUCCCGAUUCGGGGAGGUAGUGACAAGAAAUAGCAACUCGUGCGGGUUUCCGUUACGGGAUUGCAAUGAGAUAAGUCCAAAUCCGUAAACGAUUAACAAUUGGAGGGCAAGUCUGGUGCCAGCAGCCGCGGUAAUUCCAGCUCCAAUAGCGUAUACUUAAGUUGUUGCAGUUAAAAAGCUCGUAGUUGAAAUUCGAGUCAGUUACUAGUUGGCUUUUCGUCAGUUAGUUAAUUGAUUCUCCGUCUACAAUCCCUUUUGCGCUUUAGGGUUGCAGCUGGGCGAGUAGACAAUUUACCUUGAAAAAAUUAGAGUGUUCCAGGCAGGUCUUCGCCGGAAUACAUUAGCAUGGAAUAAUGGAAUAGGACUUGGGUCUUUUGUUGGUUUUAGGACUUGAGUAAUGAUUAAUAGGGACAGAUGGGGGCAUUAGCAUUUAAUUGUCAGAGGUGAAAUUCUUGGAUUUAUUAAAGACUAACUUAUGCGAAAGCAUUUGCCAAGGAUGUUUUCAUUAAUCAAGAACGAAAGUUAGGGGAUCAAAGACGAUCAGA
rnacentral:rRNA from 1 species